rnacentral:rRNA from 1 species
CAAAGUAUCUUCUGCCCACUGAUAUGGUUAAAUGGCCGCAGUACUCUGACUGUGCUAAGGUAGCGUGAUUCUUGUUUUCUUAAUUAGAAAUCUGUUCAAAGAAUGAAAUGAAGAAAAUCUAUUGUUUUUACAUUAAAUGAAGUUAAAAUGUGAGUGAAAAUUCUCACGCAAUUAUAAAAGACGAGAAGACCCCAUAAAACUUAAUUUGAUUCUUCCUCUUUUAGAAGUUUAAAAUUUAGAUGGGAACUUUAGAGUAUAUUAAUAACUUAUCGACCUUUAUUUUUAUUUGUUGAGAAGCUACUUUGGGGAUAACAGGGUAAAAUGUUUAGAGAGUUCCUAUCGAUAAACGUGAUUACUACCUCGAUGUUGGAUUAUCUUUUCA